UGAAGUGUCAAUUUAGCUAAUUUGUCCUUAUUUUUUAAACUUUACUUUUAUCUUCCAAUAGAGAGAAGAGCAGCAAAGUGGUUCUACCUCUUAGCUCAGCUGCCCUGCCAUACAUGAUGUUGGGAAACAUGGUGGAAACUUGGUACACUCUUGCUUCUAAAACUCUCCUAGCUGAUCAGGAAGCUAAUCAGGGAAACUGUGUUUAAGCCUUGAUUUCUUAAUACUUUGCUUACCGUGACUUUAGUACUUUUGGAGCAAAUUAUUUCUGAAUGGCAUGAAAAUUAAUUAAUUUGAAAACCUUGAUUUUAUAUCGACUGAAAAGUUUUAAAGUUACACAUAAAUAAAUUUAAAAAAAUAAAUUUUUUGCAAAGGGAAGUCAGGGGUCCAUUCAAAUAAGAUUUGGACUGAGAGUGUUUUUUUCUUAGUCGAAUAGGACCUUACAUUUCAUACUACUCGCUGGGUAAAAAGUCACUUUGUUUUUAAAGAGUAUAUAUGUUAGUGUUUUAUUUUACCCUGCUACUGUGGUUAAAUUCAAGUUAGAUAUUAUUAUUUGGGGGAGCCACUUCCUACCCUAAAGCAAUAUUAAAUGAUACUAUAUGCUAUUAAAUGGCAAGCACAGAAUUAUCCGUAUUUCACUCUUGUAUUUGGUUAAUUGAGACAUGGAUGCUUGUGACCUUUCUUUCCUUCAUCAUUCUUUUCUUCUAAGCUGUUGUUUAAACAGAGUGUUAUUACCGCUUUGAUGAAGUCUAAAGGUGAUAAUGUGUAAUGUACCUAUAAUCAUAGCCUUGCACCUUCUUCACUUCAUUUAAAAGAUUUUUCAGGCUAACGGGAGCUCUAAAUGGGAAUAUAUUUUUGUCGGUGAUAGAUUUCCAUAACCCAAUUAAAUAUAGAAACAUGAGGACCAAAAAGAUAGUAAUAAUGGAGGUCAAAGAGCACAGUGAAGUACCGUUGAAAUAUGAUGACCUGUAAUUGUCUUACUCCUUCUGCUACACCACAAGAACAAAAGGGACUACUUAGAAAUGCAAUGAAAAUUUAUUCCAUUUUGGUUAGAUUAAAAAUGAACAGUCAAAUGCUUAGUUCUCAGAGAGACGAGUGUAUGAUAGGUCAACUGAAGGUAUUUGUUGUAUCUUAAAAUCUAUUUGAAAUGUUUAAGUGAAUUAUUGCCUAAAUUGACAGGUGAUUGCUAUCCAGGCUAACAAUAUAUUUCUGUUAGCCUAGAUCAAAAGGGACUAUGUAAAAAAAUAUAUGCGCUUUGUAAGCUUUGGCUGUAGAUAAGAUGAUAAGAUACAUGAAUUAGGAAAUGAAUAAACUGGAAUUACAGUUAAAUCCACAUAAUGCUAUUGUGAAAUGUCCUUAACUUGCAAUUUUUUGCAAAGCAUGCUGUGCACAGUGUGGUAAGUGUGCUUGUAAUUAACAAUUAAGGCAGCUUCUCACAUGGAGAAAUGUACAAGCAAUUUUUUUAAAAAAUCAUUUCAAUAAAUACCUGAGGUGAAGUCAACAUGAUUUUAAGUUGUUUAAAAAAGUGUAUGCUUAUAACUAUUCUGUCUGCAAAAUUUAGUGUAUACACAAAUUUGGUAAUUUAAUUCCUUAUUAAAUAUUAUGUUUUUAUAUGCAAAUACUAAAAACUAAUAGUAAAAAUGAUCCAAAAAUUUAUUUGUGUUUUUAAAACACUUUUAGAAGACUCAAACUUAAAGAUGCAUCCAAAUUUUAGAAUAUAUCUUCUUUUUAUAAUUUUGGAAAUCAUGAGUACACUUGUACCCUUAAAUUAAGUCUAUAAACAUAGAAGACUAAUUUGAAAGAAAUCAGUCAUGCAAGAAACAUUCUUUUAUAUGCAGAAUGUGUUUAUGAUUUUUAAAUGGCAAAGAAUAAGCUUUGGAAUAGUACUCUUUAAAUCAUUAAAAAAUUCACCUGUCUAAUAAAUAUAGUCACAUUUCUGUUGUUUUAAAUUAAUGCUUUAUCUACAUUUAUGUAUAUAAAAUUUUCAAUUUUAGUUGAAAAUCUCUUCAUGUAAAAUAUUCCAACUGUCCUUUGGAACAAAGCCCAAUUAAUAUUCCAUUGAUUUCAUUGUUAAUGGAUGACCAGGUCACAGCCCAAGCAGAGGAGAAAGUUAAGUAAUGUCAGCUGCUUCCUCUUUCAAAAAAGCCAUAGGACAUCAUCCAAAUUCUAUUUUCUAUGUUCUGUGUAGCAAUGUCUCCAAAUACCAUAAUAACCCUUCUUCUCUUUAUGAAAACCUCUUUGCAGUUUACAGGGUAAGAACAGAAGACUAAGCCAUGACAAAUGUCCAAAGCAGUUUUUAAGAAUUUAUUUUCAAGGCAAGAAGAAUAACUGCAUUUUUCCCUACUGGAUUCCAUGACGUUCUUUCAAAACUUCCUUAAGGACUUCCUUAAGAGUUCUCUACCAUGCCAUGCCUAUAAUACAUGGGAGGACCCUGACAAAAGCAUAUAUCUAGUUGGAAAAGUAUAUUUCUAUCCAUCUCUGUCCUUCAUUUGGAUCAAUUUUUACUUCCUCCGUUUAUAUUUAUAAAUUUUUUCACUGUCUGCAAUAAAUAUGCUGCUGAAAGGAAUUGAA